GACGAACGCUGGCGGCGUGCUUAACACAUGCAAGUCGAACGGAAAGGCCCUGCUUUUGUGGGGUGCUCGAGUGGCGAACGGGUGAGUAACACGUGAGUAACCUGCCCUUGACUUUGGGAUAACUUCAGGAAACUGGGGCUAAUACCGGAUAGGAGCUCCUGCUGCAUGGUGGGGGUUGGAAAGUUUCGGCGGUUGGGGAUGGACUCGCGGCUUAUCAGCUUGUUGGUGGGGUAGUGGCUUACCAAGGCUCUGACGGGUAGCCGGCCUGAGAGGGUGACCGGCCACAUUGGGACUGAGAUACGGCCCAGACUCCUACGGGAGGCAGCAGUGGGGAAUAGUGCACAAUGGGCGGAAGCCUGAUGCAGCAACGCCGCGUGCGGGAUGACGGCCUUCGGGUUGUAAACCGCUUUCGCCUGUGACGAAGCGUGAGUGACGGUAAUGGGUAAAGAAGCACCGGCUAACUACGUG
rnacentral:rRNA from 1 species